GACGAACGCUGGCGGCGUGCUUAACACAUGCAAGUCGAACGGAAAGGCCCUGCUUUUGUAGGGUGCUCGAGUGGCGAACGGGUGCGUAACACGUGAGUAACCUGCCCUUGACUUUGGGAUAACUUCAGGAAACUGGGGCUAAUACCGGAUAGGAGCUCCUGCUGCAUGGUGGGGGUUGGAAAGUUUCGGCGGUUGGGGAUGGACUCGCGGCUUAUCAGCUUGUUGGUGGGGUAGUGGCUUACCAAGGCUUUGACGGGUAGCCGGCCUGAGAGGGUGACCGGGGACAUUGGGACUGCGGGACGGACCAGACUCCUACGGGAGGCAGCAGGGGGGAAUAUUGCACAAUGGGCGGAAGCCUGAGGCAGCAACGCCGCGUGCGGGAUGACGGCCUUCGGGUUGUAAACCGCUUUCGCCUGUGACGAAGCGUGAGUGACGGUAAUGGGUAAAGAAGCACCGGCUAACUACGUG
rnacentral:rRNA from 1 species